AUUGAACGCUGGCGGAAUGCUUUACACAUGCAAGUCGAACGGCAGCACGGGGGCAACCUUGGUGGCGAGUGGCGAAUGGGUGAGUAACACAUCGGAACAUGCCCAGUCGUGGGGGAUAACGUAGCGAAAGUUACGCUAAUACCGCAUACGAUCUAAGGAUGAAAGCGGGGGACCGUAAGGCCUCGCGCGAUUGGAGUGGCCGAUGCCAGAUUAGGUAGUUGGUGGGGUAAAGGCUCACCAAGCCAACGAUCUGUAGCUGGUCUGAGAGGACGACCAGCCACACUGGGACUGAGACACGGCCCAGACUCCUACGGGAGGCAGCAGUGGGGAAUUUUGGACAAUGGGCGCAAGCCUGAUCCAGCCAUUCCGCGUGCAGGACGAAGGCCUUCGGGUUGUAAACUGCUUUUGUACGGAGCGAAAAGCCUUGGGUUAAUACCUCGGGGUCAUGACGGUACCGUAAGAAUAAGCACCGGCUAACUACGUGCCAGCCGCCGCAGUAA
rnacentral:rRNA from 1 species